GGAAGGCUUGAGCCAAGGCAUAGAAGGAGUAGGUAGAGCCCUAGUGGAAGCUGUUGGAGACCCCAUGGAGGAGAGGCAGUGGAGGGAAAACCUGCUACACAAGAAGUGACAGAGGAUGAACUCUGCAGGAACAGGUCAGGUUCUGAUGGGGGAGGCUCUGAGGUAGGCCCAGUUAGAACACUUCACUGGGGACUGAGAGGGAUGGAAGACUUAUUAGUUUAGAGGUUUACUUGAACUUUGUUGGACUUUUUUGUGAUCCUGGAAGAGUGUUACUUGGCUGGAAGGAUGAGCCAUGGAAGACCAGUGGUAGGCAGAUGGCCUGCAGGAGGCCACAGAGCUGAAGCUACGGGCAAUAUUCACACACUGAUACAAGGGGCUUAACUUGUGGACUGCUGCUUCAUUCACUGCAAUGAUGGAUCUGCUCUGGGGAUGAAUAAGGCUGUGGAAUGAAGGAGAUUGUUGUCAGGAAGAGCUCUACUUCAUCUGUUCCUGGAGUUGGAAACAAUGGAAUUUAACUGACUUAACUGGAGUGGCCAGAUCUUCUGGUCCAGCCAAGCUGUGCUUGAUACAAGACUGGUGGAUGGCAGAAGCAAAGAUGGCUUCAAAUCAACUGUGUGGCUCUCAGUUCCUGAGGCCUUCUGACUACAGGAACUGUUUACACCUUCCUUGAUGUAAACUAAAGCAGUCUAAUGGCUACUGUAACAUACGCUGGGUGCUCACAACUCCCAGAGGCCACUCUGGCACCCAGGGAUUUCUGGGAUAUAGAGAUUCCCUAUGUCCCAUCUCUCCUGGAAAUGCAACUUGACUAAUAGGGUCAUGAAGAGAGCAGGGAGAGGAUGCUCUGGUGGUGGCUAUAUAGGAAGAAGCUUCAAAGGGCUAGUUAAACAGGCUUUAGGUUGGUUUGUUUUUGCCAUAAUACUGCUAAGCAGCCAGACUGGGGCUGGGGCUCAGGCCCUGUAUGUUUAAACAAAGUCUACUCAACUUCCUUCACAUUUUACAAAACUUGAUCUGAUAUUGUCCCUUUCUGCAACAUGGCCAAAAUGGCAAAUGUCUCCCAUUCUCCUUUAGGUAGCAUGUGUGAAAAUAAAACAUCUCUGUAAAAUCGUAUUGCAUUUCCCUCAGCAGAAUAAAUGAGAAUUGAUACAUUUGUAUUUGCAACUAGAUUAAUCCCUAAAAUACAAAUGGGCAAGAUUGUUUCAGAAACUCCUA